ACUUAGAUAGCUUAUUUAGAGCAUAAUAUUGAAGAUAUUAGGGAAACGUUAUGUUUUUAAGUA
rnacentral:tRNA from 1 species